UAGGGAAUCUUCGGCAAUGGACGAAAGUCUGACCGAGCAACGCCGCGUGAGUGAAGAAGGUUUUCGGAUCGUAAAACGCUUUUGUUAGAGAAGAACAAGGACGUUAGUAACUGAACGUCCCCUGACGGUAUCUAACCAGAAAGCCACGGCUAACUACGUGCCAGCAGCCGCGGUAAUACGUAGGUGGCAAGCGUUGUUCGGAUUUAUUGGGCGUAAAGCGAGCGCAGGCGGUUUCUUAAGUCUGAUGUGAAAGCCCCCGGCUCAACCGGGGAGGGUCAUUGGAAACUGGGAGACUUGAGUGCAGAAGAGGAGAGUGGAAUUCCAUGUGUAGCGGUGAAAUGCGUAGAUAUAUGGAGGAACACCAGUGGCGAAGGCGGCUCUCUGGUCUGUAACUGACGCUGAGGCUCGAAAGCGUGGGGAGCAAACAGG
rnacentral:rRNA from 1 species